rnacentral:ncRNA from 2 species
CAUUUGCAGCACGAUACGGGUUUCAAUCAUCCAGACCUGAAUGGUUGAGAAAAGGGAAUCAGGUGCGAAUCCUGAACAGUCCCGCUGCGGUAAUACUACCAAAAUGGAUUCUGCAAUACUUUUGUCACUGGUGGUUCUAUAACUAAGAACUCUGACUGGGAAGACAGCACGACAUCCAAGUUAAGUCCGAAGACCUGCCUGCUAUCGAAUCUUUUU